CAGCAGCCGCGGGAAUACGUAGGGUGCGAGCGUUAAUCGGAAUUACUGGGCGUAAAGCGUGCGCAGGCGGUUGUGUAAGACAGGUGUGAAAUCCCCGGGCUUAACCUGGGAACUGCGCUUGUGACUGCACAGCUAGAGUAUGGCAGAGGGGGGUGGAAUUCCACGUGUAGCAGUGAAAUGCGUAGAUAUGCGGAGGAACACCGAUGGCGAAGGCAAUCCCCUGGGCCUGCACUGACGCUCAUGCACGAAAGCGUGGGGAGCGAACAGGAUUAGAUACCCGGGUAGUCCCUGUCUCUUAUAC
rnacentral:rRNA from 1 species